rnacentral:lncRNA from 1 species
AAUACAUACAAACUACUUAUUGGAGUAAUAUAACUAUGUUAAGGAGUUAGAAUAGCUUGAAUUUUUGAAAUUGAAGGUCUAUAGUAGGGGGUUCAAUAUACCGCAGGGGGGUCAAAUACCAUGGCUAAGUAAAAUUUUCAAAAUAUCUUUUCCAGUAUGUUUAAUACAUACAAACUACUUAUUGAAGUAUUAUAACUAUGUUAAGGAGUUAGAAUAGCUUGAAUUUUUGAAAUUCAAGGUCUAUAGUAGGGGGUUCAAUAUACGCAGGGGGGUCAAAAUACCAUGGCUAAGUAAAAUUUUCAAAAUAUCUUUUCCAGUAUAUUAAAUACAUACAAAC